rnacentral:sRNA from 1 species
GCUGGAGGUGGUGGCACAUGUCUGUAAUCCCAGCAGCUUGGGAGACUGAGACAGGAGAAUUACGAGUUCAAAGCCAGCCUCAGCAAAAGUGAGGUUCUAAGCAACUCAGUGAGACCCUGUCUCUA